UACGAAGGGGGCUAGCGUUGCUCGGAAUCACUGGGCGUAAAGGGUGCGUAGGUGGAUUUUUAAGUCAGGGGUGAAAUCCUGGAGCUCAACUCCAGAACUGCCUUUGAUACUGGGAAUCUUGAGUUCGGGAGAGGUGAGUGGAACUGCGAGUGUAGAGGUGAAAAUUCGUAGAUAUUCGCAAGAACACCAGUGGCGAAGGCGACUCACUGGACAUGUAUUGACGCUGAGGUGCGAAAGCGUGGGGAGCAAACAGGG
rnacentral:rRNA from 1 species